GGGUCAGUAGGUUGGUCGUGCCACCGGUACGUACUGGUCUCACUGAUUCCUCCUUCCUGAAGAACCGUAAAGCCAUUAAUUUGGUGUUGCGGGGAAACAGGACUGUUACUUUGAAAAAAUUAGAGAGUUUAAAGCAAGCUAACGCUUGAAUACAUUAGCAUGGAAUAAUGAAAUAGGACGAUCGAUCCUAUUUUGUUGGUUUCUAGGAUUGACGUA
rnacentral:rRNA from 1 species